CGAGCUGGAGGGUCGAUGCGGCGGGGCUCCGCUGCCUGAGCCUUAGUGGGCAGGAGAAGAAGUGCCUGGAGGGACUCGUGGCUGCGGGAUCCCCCCCGCGCACUCCUUUGUGCGUACUGGUGUGUGCGCGUGGUGUGCAAGGAUUCUGUGUGUUUGUGUGCAAGCGCGAGGUCCUGAGGUCCUCAGAGACGGUGAGGGCUCCGUCACCUGAAAUUCCGGACCCUUCCUGGCUAUUCUGCGAUUGUUUACAGCCACUAACGGUCUGGUCUUGCGGGCGAAGCGACUCAGCUGCGUUGCCCACCUUCGAGUCCAGGGAAGUGCUCCCAAGUGCCACGGUGCGGGAGGUGGGGGAGAGGUUAGGCCUGUUGGUUUGGCGUGUCUGGGCCCCGCCCUGAGUCCGACCCAGAGAUCCCGAGACAUGGGGCAGGGGGUGAAGGAGGGUGAGCGCGGGGAUGGGAUGGGCCCUGCGGGUCCGGCUGGAAACCAGCCCUUCCUAAACGCAAAAACGAAGAUCGGCUUGCGGGCCUGAUGUGGAGCGAUCUGUUCUCUCCUCCCCUGCUGCCCAACUCCGAGCUCCAGCUGGAGGGUCGCCAACCCCUCCCGCCAUCCCCAGGCUCCGGAGCGGGAGGCGGGAGGUCCGAGUAUCUGGGGAACGCAAGGCGGGACGGGGCCUCAAACUGCGACAAGUGCGACCUUUUGUUCAGACUCGACUCUCAGAUGGCGGCGCGCGCUUAAGUGCGAAACUCUUGGGGAGGGGAGGUCUUGUCAAAUGUGCAAGUCGGAAACUCCGAAAGGGCUGAGGGCUACCCAAGUACCUGGAGGGACGGGGGCGCCGACCGCACCUGCCGGGCGUCGGGGAGCUGGCGGGUUGCUUGGGGCCCCUGCCGCGCAGUGCCCCUUCCUCCCGCGCCGCAUUCCGCGAGUUCCUUCGCCCGCGGCCGGUCUUGGCCUCCGAAGUCCAGAGGCGUUUCGGACCCGGGCUAUCAAAGAGCCGCCCCUUUCCCUGUCGGCGCCCCUGGCCCCCCUCCCUCCUGCCCUGCCCUCUCCAGACCCGCUCACUGGAGAGGAAGGGAGAUGGGGCGGGAGGCGCGGCGGAAACCUCUCCCCGCCGCCCCUGCCAAAAAGCACAACACUUUCAGUGCCGGCGGGCCAGGCUUGCCCCCGUGAACAGCGGGGGACUUUGUUCUCGGCAGUUGUUUCCUGGCCAUUUGACCUGUCAGCUGCUGGGGAAAUGCUGCUGUUGACCUUUGGUUGAACUACUAAGGCGAUUUUGCUGAUUUUUCUUUCUCUACGAGGGCGGCCUUUGGCACCUCAGAUUAAACCAAACGCUCCUCCCUUCUCCUCCCAGCGCUUUAAGAGAAAGUGCCAGGAAGGGCCUUGCACCGGAAGGACCGCUAAGCCCGGCGAGCUGGGCGCAGGGGGCCCGGGGCCCCCGCCUGCCCUGGCGCCGAGCUGUGCCGGGAGCCACGCGGCCCCGGACCGGGUAGAGCGCCGGGCUGGGGUCCGGGCUGUUGACGCACGCCUCCUGCACUCCCUUGCAUGAUGCCGGCGUGCCGGCGCUCGUGGGGACGAGGAGAGAAACGUCUCUGGGACCAAAGUACCUUCGAGUGGCAGGGGCUGGCCGGGGUGUUCUCCGUGCCGCGCUGACCUCGAUCGCUCCUGAUUUGGAGCCCGAUCGCGCGCCUGCCUGCGCGGGCCCUGAACACAGGACCCUUCUCGAGGUCCUGUUUCUUCUUGACUUCUACUGGAAAGGCAUCCCUAAUGAGGGCAGAAGGAAAUGGGCGUGGUCUGCUCCCCCAGCGCUGCGGGAACGUGCCUCUGGGGGAGGACAGCCAUGCCUCCUGCACUCUUAUUCCUUGGAGAAGUGGAAUGGCAGGAAAUGUGGGCUCAUGGGCAGGGGGGAGCUGGGGACGGCGAACUAAAGGGAAACAGGGGGAGACAAGCCCCUUAGAUUAUCUUUAGUAAAUGCCUUAAUUGAUUAGGGGUUGGGUAAUUUUUUUCCCACCGGAGUUGUUCCUUUAUUUUGCAGCCAAUGGGCCUUCCUGGGAGUCUCAUUUCAUGUGCAGUGGUGGGUGUGGAAUAAAAGUGGUCAGACAUUAAGCCAGUGGAAGACUGAUUGUUGGUGUCUGCCGUCCUGGAGGGAGAGUAAAAACAGCUGGGCAUUUUCAGAAGCUCUAUUACCCUUCCUGGCCACAGGCUAUCUAAUUCUACCAAUUAAUUGCAUUUUUAAAGGCCGAUUUUCCCAUUUCUGCCACUUUGAAGGGCAGGAAGUUGGUUACUCAUUGCAGGCAGUUAAUAACUAAUACUACAGGCAAGAAUUCAUAGUUAAGAGUAAACUUUACUUUCUAUCAAUGAAAUACUAUCUGGCCUUUACAUUUCCUAAUAUUACCCAAGGUUUGCUAAAAGCAGUAACCCAAAUCACUACAUUUUCUGGUCUUUUGGCUAGUAAAAGCUUCCCAUUGGGAUAAACUUUUUUUUAAGCUCAUUUUAUUUAAAAUCCUGUAAGACAUUUUUAGGGACAGUUUAGAAAGUUUAGCUUUUCAGAUUUUAUUAUAGUACACGUCUCCUUUGAAAUCCCUUUCUCACUCCUCAUAGAUCCUUGGAAUAGGGUUUUAGACAACCGCUCCCACCCCAUCCACCCUGGGUCAGUAGAGAAAGACAAAAAGAGCAUUUUCUUACCCUAACAGAAGUCUUCCUUUACCUCCCACAGUCUCCAGAUAAAUCAGUCUGUUUUGCAGAAGAUGUCAGGUAUAAAAACAUUAUCUUACUUUUCCUUCUAUCUAAAAUUCGUCUCAGCCCAUGACCUUUGUCAGUCUUAUUCAAGUUCUGAUUUAAAAGCUGUCCUGGAGCUGUUUUGAGAAACUGGGAAGAUCAACUAAAUACUCCAACUUCUCCUUCCAGGUUGGAAGUCACCUACCCAGCAGUCCCCAGGCCUGAUCAUACAGACCUGACAUUAUGCUUCCUGUGAAAACAGCCACUAAGGCCCGUAAUGAAUGCUAUGGGUGGGGUUCGGGUGUCUGUCUUCUGUCUUUUCUUUCUCUGUGUCCAUUUGCCCUGUCCAUCCUCGUUUCCAGGAGGUCAGUGGCAUCAAACAGCAGAGUCCUGGGGGACGCUAAGGUUGAACACCUCUUUCACCCAAAGGCAAAAGGACUGGCUUUUCUCCUUGCAAACAGGACACAAUGCCCAUGACAGCCAAGAAUUGUUA